AUAGUUGCUUUUUUUAAUGAGCAAGUACAGACAGCAUUGCCUUGUUUCUAUGCUCAUCAUAGUGACAUGGUACAGGUGAUUUAGUAAUUUUGAUAGUUGCUUUUUUUAAUGAGCAAGUAAAUAGAGUGUUGCCUUGUUUGUAUGCUCAUCAUAAUGACUCACAGAAAACCUGGAAGGGAAUGAACAAGCCCAGGACAUGGAGAUCUGGUCUUAUUAGGGUCAUGCAAGUCUUGCUAACUCCAUCUUUUUGUUAAGGGAAUAUAGGGACAGGAAUAGAUAUUCUUACCUCAUCUUUUUAUUUAAGGUCAUAUAAAGGCUUUCUCACCUCAGGGUAAGAAUUCCUAACCUGUCAUUAGUAUAAAAUGUUGCUCACAAGAAAAAGAAAAACCACAGGUGGAGCUUGUACUGGAGGAAACACAACGACCGAGUGUGUUGAAAGAUGGCCUUUUGUUUUAGCUGAGUGCAAUGUAUGAAUGAUUUUAAUUGGAAAUUUGAAUUGUUCUCUUUUCAUGAACUUGAUACAAGUUUUCAGAUUAGUUAAGUUAAACUAAAUCUUCUGAAAAACUUAUCUCUUCAAAUUGUUUAAGUAUCGAAUAUUUUCAGGCUCGAUACUGAAUAUAUGUUAUCCCAGUAUUAACACCUAUCAUUAUUACGAAAUAAAUGGCUAUUCAGUAUCAGUUUAAAAUUAAUUUUCACCGUCAUUAAUAGCAUUUAGCAAAUAUGCCUUAUCCAGAUUGGAUUUUAUAACCUUUUAUUCUUAUGUAUGUGUGUCUAAUGAAUUAUUUUAAAGGUCACAAGAUGCUCAAAUUAAGAACAGUUGACAGUUACAGUUUUUUUUAUUGAAGUUAUCCCAAGAGUUUGAUGUGUUGCAAUCUGAGGAAGAUCAUAGAGUAAAGGUGUCUUGUCAUCUGUUAGUGUCAGCCUAUAGACUAUAGACAUAGAGGUUUCAUCCGGGAUUUUAAUAUAUUUUUUUAGAUCUUUAAUCCAGGAAUGUGCCUUUUUAUGCAAGCAUGUUUUUACAUUGAUGUCAUUUGGAAAGGGCUGGAAACCAAUUGAUGUGUCUGUUUUUGGUUAAUAUUUAAUGCAUUUUAAAUAUUUGUAUUAUUCAAGCUUAGGGUUCCCAUUGUUAAAAUUCAUGCAUUUUUAAGGUUUUUGUUGCCUAGGUUAGGGUUGCAGUUGUAAAAAUUCACCUAUUUGUCCUAUUUUUGUUAGCCUAAGUAAGGGUUGCAAUUGUUAAAAUGUAUGUAUUUAAAUGUUUUUGUUGCCUAGGUUAUGGUUGCAAUUGUUAAAAUGUGUGUAUUUGUUAUGUCAUUGUUAGCCGAGUUUAGGGAUGCAAAUUGUUAAAAUUCAUGCAUUUUUAAGGUUGCAAUUAUUUAUUAUUCAUGUUAAAUUGUUGGUGGUUAGUAGACUACACUGUUUAGCUAUAAUUUAUAUACAGAUAUUUUUAAUAGCAUAAUAGGGGAAUUGUAAUGAGACUUACAGAAACAAACAGAUUUAAAAGUAAAGAUAAUGCAGUACGGGCUACAGAAAUAAAAGUUUAUUUAGUAGAAAGUU